GAGGUUAAUGGUAAAGUGCCAGCGGCGGAGAGAACAGGCAGAUCGUAAAGACGCCGUAAACCCAUCCUUGGGGGCUCGAGCCGCGCCCUCCCUGGCGCGGACGCUUU
rnacentral:ncRNA from 1 species